GGAACUCAACCCAGGAGCCUCCCGCCGGAAGUUGUGCGAUUUCUUUAAUCAGAGUGGCUUCCCACAAAUGUAUUUCCUGCCUGAUCCCGCUGUCUGUGUCCUUGCAGUGUGAGUGGCAGAAUCCCUUGAAGAAGACCGAGCCAGUGACCUCGUUUCUGAAAUAAAAGGCGGGAAGUGAGGGAGCCAGUGGUCACCGGGCAGCCAACCCAGAAGGAAAAAUCUCCAAGAGUGGGAACAGUUAAUCAUCAUCAUCAUGAUAAUUAGCAUUUACCAAGUACGUUUGCCACAUCUCGAGCUGCGAGCUGCCUGUGCCCAUCUCAUGGAGCCCUGGAGUUUUUAUUCUCCCCACCUUCUAUUCAGGCAAACUGAGGCUUCGAGAAUCAUGACCCAGGCAAACUGCAAGAUUCUCGGUAACACGAGAAAGACAGGACUUUGCUCACUGGCUAGUGUUUCCUAUCACAAAAAUAACAGCAGAGUUCAUACUUCUGACAAAGUUUUACAACUAAGGAAGAAAAAAAAUCAGGUUCCUGGUUGGUCACCCCUCGGCUCCAGCAGAUGUAGGGGCUGGAGCACUCCCUGUGUUUGGUUCAACAAGGCUGACGUCGGGCUCGUGUGCUGGGACUGGACUCCGCCGUCAGCUCCUUAGGACCUGGCAGCUUCUCCUCUUGGCUUUUUGUAAAAAUUAGAGUAAUUUAAAUCUCCAAUAUGUUGUGGUAAUCCAUGAGUUUUUAAAGAUGAUUACACUAGUUUACUAGUUAAACCUUUACAUUAAAAACUGUGUUUCCAGCUAAA